rnacentral:rRNA from 1 species
UACGGAGGGAGCUAGCGUUGUUCGGAAUUACUGGGCGUAAAGCGCACGUAGGCGGCUUUGUAAGUUAGAGGUGAAAGCCCGGGGCUCAACCCCGGAAUUGCCUUUAAGACUGCAUCGCUUGAAUCCGGGAGAGGUGAGUGGAAUUCCGAGUGUAGAGGUGAAAUUCGUAGAUAUUCGGAAGAACACCAGUGGCGAAGGCGGCUCACUGGACUGGUAUUGACGCUGAUGUGCGAAAGCGUGGGGAGCAAACAGG